CCUACGGGAGGCAGCAGUGAGGAAUAUUGGGCAAUGGCCGGAAGCCUGAACCAGCAAAGCCGCGUGAAGGACGAAGGUGCCAAGCAUUGUAAACUUCUUUUGUCAAGGGACAAAAUCAGGCUCGAGAGCCUGACCGAGGGUACUUGAAGAAAAAGCAUCGGCUAACUACGUGACAGCAGCCGCGGGAAUACGGGGGAUGCGAGCGUUAUCCGGAAUUAUUGGGUUUAAAGGGGGCGUUGGCGGACUGUUAAGUCAGCGGUGAAAGCCCGGGGCUCAACCCUGGCGAGGCGGUGGAAACGGGAUGUCUUGAGAGGUGGAGAGGUAAGCGGAAUGCGCAGUGUAGCGGUGAAAUGCUUAGAUAUUGCGAAGAACUCCAGUGGCGAAGGCAGCAUACCGGCGGGGAUCUGACGCUGAGGCACGAAAGCGUGGGUAUCGAACAGGAUUAGAUACCCGAGUAGUC
rnacentral:rRNA from 1 species